rnacentral:lncRNA from 1 species
GUCAUAUUACUCGCCGUCUAGUGAACAGCAGGUUACAAUACAAAUAUUUAUGUUAAAAUUCAGAAUAUGAAAAAUUAUAUGUUAAAACGAUGUAUCGUCUUAAAAAUAUUACAAUAGAUAAAUUAAGCAGCAAUUAUCGUUUAUUGAGAAUGUAUAUUAUAAAUUAUAUGUUUCAUAUUAAAUUAAACAUGACGGAAUAACAAAAUGUCGCCGAUGUUUGAACAGCAGAGAGCGCUAGCGUUCGUCAUCAAUUAUGGGCGAGUGUGACUCGAUUCUUCAGAAAUAUUAGCUUAAAUAUAUUAUAUGGAAUAUAUGAAUCGAAUUGUAAUUCAGACAUAUGCCAAGAAAUGUAAAUAUAAUGUCUUGAAACUAAAAGUUUCAAAAGGAUAUGGAAUGUGAAGAAAAUCCUUUUUUAGCCAUGUCUCAAGAUCAAAUUCAAAAAAUAGAUGCUGUUUUGCAAUCAGAGCAAGCUAAAGUCUUGCUUCAAGAAUCAUCUCAUACAGUGAAAUUGUUUGAAGAAACUUCAGAGAAAGAAAAUUUAGAUAUAUCAUCCAAUAAUGAAAGCCAGCUUCCCUUGCUAGAUGAUGGAUUGAGGGAUCUUGCUAAUGUAAAGAAAAAUUUGCACUGAAUUAUGAAAAGUUCUAUUUGUAUUAUUUAUAAUUUUUAUGAAUUUAUCUAUUUAAUUCUAAUUGAAGCUAACUAGGAGAAUAUUUGUAAACCAGAUAUUCAAAGCUAAAUAACCCUAGCUAUAAAGUACUCUAACUAGGAGAAUAUCUACAAACCAAAGGCUUAAGCCAAAUUAACUCUUAGCAUAAUAUUUUGGAAUUGAACUGCAAUUUUAAUAAUUAUUUUAAAUGGAAACUACAGUGCCAUCAUUUGUUGAGUUAAUAAUUAAUUAGAUUUUAAAUAUGGACUAAAGUACAC